CGGAAUGCUUUACACAUGACAGUCGAGUAGAGGGGCAACCCCUUGAGAGUGGCGAACGGGUGAGUAAUAUAUCGGAACGUGCCCAGUCGUGGGGGAUAACGUAGCGAAAGUUACGCUAAUACCGCAUACGAUCUAAGGAUGAAAGCGGGGGACCGUAAGGCCUCGCGCGAUUGGAGCGGCCGAUAUCAGAUUAGGUAGUUGGUGGGGUAAAAGGCUUACCAAGGCGACGAUCAGUAUCUGGUUUGAGAGGACGAUCAGACACACUGGAACUGAGACACGGUCCAGACUCCUACGGGAGGCAGCAGUGGGAAUUUUCCGCAAUGGGCGAAAGCCUGACGGAGCAAUACCGCGUGAGGGAAGAAUGCCUAUGGGUUGUAAACCUCUUUUUCAGGGAGGAAUAAAAUGACGUGUACCUGAAGAAUAAGCAUCGGCUAACUCCGUG
rnacentral:rRNA from 1 species